GUUUUCUCUGUCCAGAGACAACCCGAGCAGUUGGCUGGUUCACCUUCUACAAUGAGAAACGGCCACUCAUCAACACACAGAGUCUUGUCAUCCCCCUCCGGUUGAGCAAACUGCAAAGACAUAGUAAGAAUUAUAUGUACAUUACAAUUGAGAAAUGGAAACCCAAAAUUACACUUUCUUAAAGGGAACUUAGAGAAAAUAUCAAAAGAAUAGAGAACCGCACUCUAUUCACUGAAUGUGUUUAAUCAUUACAUGUUGUAUGCAAAUUACCUUGCUCGAAUGCACAAAGACGCUGCCCUCCAGAGUGGCUGGCACAGCAGCUUCUGGAACAGGUCGAGGAGGAGGUAAGCCCUCCAGAGUAGCUGGUACAGCAGCUUCUGGAACAGGUCGAGGGGGAGGUACCAGCUUCGAAGGUUUGGCAAUCCUUGCUGGAGUUUGAAGUGCCUGGAAAAUAAUUGUAAAUCAUUGGCAAAACAAUACCUACACAGAGAAUGUUGGACUAUCUCUUGUGUUAAAGGCGAAAUCAGAAAAUAGUUGUUCCUGUGUUUCAACCAAAAAACAAGUACAUAUUUCACUGAGAAAUUACCAACCUCAAGGCGGGCCUUCUUUCCUUUGGAGACCACAGCCGUGGUUCCAUGUGCCACCUUCCGUUUCUAUCAUAAUGGAAGAGAACGGAAAUGAUAACAGUUAAUGAAAUAUAACACUUUUAUCAAUGCAACUAUCUGUACCAUACAAUGUAAAGCUUGUCAUAUAGGAUUACAGGCGCUAUUAAUAUGUAUGCACUCACAAACAGUUAAUAUUAAAAUCACACAAAUUACCUUUGAGCGAUUCCCCAUGGUAGCAUACAUGGGGACGUCAAGGUUGGAUGGAACAAUGCGAUCCAUUGCAGCCAACUUGUCAGUGCUAAACCGGAUAGGGUUUAGCACGACAAAGCACUCCCUCAGGACCUGAGGAGGCACACAAACCUAGAAAUAAAAAACAGAAUUGAGCCAUUGACCAUUUGCCUUGUCUAAUAGGAAUAGCAUUUAAAUGAAACAACAAAUGUACGCAUCAUUACGGUUUGAUUUCCUUUCAGCUAUCAUACCAAUGUACAAACCUCAUGAGGAAGGAUCCGCACGGAAGACUGAUCCCAGUCCUCAGGCGCAUCCCAGGACUCAGUUUCCUUGAAGGGGUCAAGGGGACGUGGACGUGAAACUUCUCCCUUCACAACCACGGUAGUAGCAAAGGGUCUCACAGUCGGGGGUGCCUUGGGAGGAGACACAGGCGGAGGUGUAACAGGCAGAGGUGACUGUAGCUGCCGAAAGGAGAAGUGCCACAGAAGCUUCGCGAGAAGCGGCAUCCCCAGAUCGUCACUCAGGUGGAUCUAUUAUAAUGAGAAGCACGGGUUAUUAUUGAAAUAAACUGCUUUUGCCGUAUAAAAAUGACAUGACAUGAAUUUCUCACGUGCCAAGUUAUAACACGACUUACCCCAUCACGACUCCACAAGGCACGUGACUCCAGCGGAAAGCGGUCAGC